GACGAACGCUGGCGGCGUGCUUAACACAUGCAAGUCGAACGAAGAGCGAUGGAAGCUUGCUUCUAUCAAUCUUAGUGGCGAACGGGCGAGUAACGCGUAAUCAACCUGCCCUUCAGAGGGGGACAACAGUUGGAAACGACUGCUAAUACCGCAUACGAUCUAAUCUCGGCAUCGAGGAUGGAUGAAAGGUGGCCUCUACAUGUAAGCUAUCACUGAAGGAGGGGAUUGCGUCUGAUUAGCUAGUUGGAGGGGUAACGGCCCACCAAGGCGAUGAUCAGUAGCCGGUCUGAGAGGAUGAACGGCCACAUUGGGACUGAGACACGGCCCAGACUCCUACGGGAGGCAGCAGUGGGGAAUCUUCCGCAAUGGACGAAAGUCUGACGGAGCAACGCCGCGUGAGUGAUGACGGCCUUCGGGUUGUAAAGCUCUGUUAAUCGGGACGAAAGGCCUUCUUGCGAAUAGUGAGAAGGAUUGACGGUACCGGAAUAGAAAGCCACGGCUAACUACGUG
rnacentral:rRNA from 1 species